AGAUUGAACUGAAGAGUUUGAUCCUGGCUCAGAUUGAACGCUGGCGGCAUGCUUUACACAUGCAAGUCGAACGGUAACAGGGAGCUUGCUCCGCUGACGAGUGGCGAACGGGUGAG
rnacentral:rRNA from 1 species